rnacentral:tRNA from 1 species
CGGGAUGUAGCUCCAAUUUGCGCAGAGCGCCUGCUUUGGGUGCAGGAGGCUGUGAGUUCGAAUCUCGCCGUCCCGA